GUACUUGCUUUGACAGCACACUCAGUAACAUUUGCAACGUACAGGGAAGAUUAACUGACCUGCUGCACAAAGAUGACACACAAAUUUGUGAAGGUGGUUCUUUUUAU
rnacentral:snRNA from 10 species